UACGAAGGGGGCUAGCGUUGCUCGGAAUCACUGGGCGUAAAGCGCACGUAGGCGGAUCUUUAAGUCAGAGGUGAAAUCCUGGAGCUCAACUCCAGAACUGCCUUUGAUACUGGGGAUCUCGAGUCCGGGAGAGGUGAGUGGAACUGCGAGUGUAGAGGUGAAAUUCGUAGAUAUUCGCAAGAACACCAGUGGCGAAGGCGGCUCACUGGCCCGGUACUGACGCUGAGGUGCGAAAGCGUGGGGAGCAAACAGG
rnacentral:rRNA from 1 species